CCUACGGGGGGCUGCAGUGAGGAAUAUUGGUCAAUGGACGAGAGUCUGAACCAGCCAAGUAGCGUGAAGGAUGACUGCCCUAUGGGUUGUAAACUUCUUUUAUAUGGGAAUAAAAUGUUCCACGUGUGGGAUUUUGUAUGUACCAUAUGAAUAAGGAUCGGCUAACUCCGUGCCAGCAGCCGCGGUAAUACGGAGGAUCCGAGCGUUAUCCGGAUUUAUUGGGUUUAAAGGGAGCGUAGGUGGAUUGUUAAGUCAGUUGUGAAAGUUUGCGGCUCAACCGUAAAAUUGCAGUUGAAACUGGCAGUCUUGAGUACAGUAGAUGUGGGCGGAAUUCGUGGUGUAGCGGUGAAAUGCUUAGAUAUCACGAAGAACUCCGAUUGCGAAGGCAGUUCACUGGACUGCAACUGACACUGAGGCUCGAAAGUGUGGGUAUCAAACAGGAUUAGAUACCCUAGUAGUC
rnacentral:rRNA from 1 species